rnacentral:rRNA from 1 species
UGAGCAACCUGCCCUGGACUCUGGGAUAAGCGCUGGAAACGGCGUCUAAUACUGGAUAUGAGCUCUCAUCGCAUGGUGGGGGUUGGAAAGAUUUUUCGGUCUGGGAUGGGCUCGCGGCCUAUCAGCUUGUUGGUGAGGUAAUGGCUCACCAAGGCGUCGACGGGUAGCCGGCCUGAGAGGGUGACCGGCCACACUGGGACUGAGACACGGCCCAGACUCCUACGGGAGGCAGCAGUGGGGAAUAUUGCACAAUGGGCGGAAGCCUGAUGCAGCAACGCCGCGUGAGGGAUGACGGCCUUCGGGUUGUAAACCUCUUUUAGCAGGGAAGAAGCGAGAGUGACGGUACCUGCAGAAAAAGCGCCGGCUAACUACGUGCCAGCAGCCGCGGUAAUACGUAGGGCGCAAGCGUUAUCCGGAAUUAUUGGGCGUAAAGAGCUCGUAGGCGGUUUGUCGCGUCUGCUGUGAAAUCCCGAGGCUCAACCUCGGGCCUGCAGUGGGUACGGGCAGACUAGAGUGCGGUAGGGGAGAUUGGAAUUCCUGGUGUAGCGGUGGAAUGCGCAGAUAUCAGGAGGAACACCGAUGGCGAA